UUGAAAGGUUAGAUAUUGACUCGGUUUAACAAAACAAAGAUUGAAAAAUGUAUCUCGAGAAGAUUUUUCUCGUUUUAAUUUUAAUAAAAGAGGUAAGAACUGCUGUCAUAUAUUCUAAUCAAGAUUCGAAAAAAUAUAUUUCCAGAUCCAUAACAUCUUCAAUAGUGAAUGGGGUAAAAAGCCGCCCUCGUUCUUUCUACGUUAGAAUUGAGCUCCACAAUGGAACUAGCACAACGUACUGCGGGGGAUCUAUCAUACAUCCCUUUUGGAUAGUCACAGCAGCUCACUGUUUGGAAAAUCAAGAAGCUAGUCAGUCGUUUGUGGAGGUGGGAGACUUCGUGAGCAUGGAUCUAUUCACAAUGUUUCCCAUAGAAAUGUGGUUCAGUCACGAAGAAUACUUCAAGCUCGGCGACCAGCUAUCGAGCAACAUUGCGUUAAUCAAACUCAAAGCACCAAUUCGAGACCCGCAAAAAAUUAUUCCUGUUUGCACCAAACAAGUGGAGGACGGGCGUAUUUUGGGGGCGUGUGGCAUGGGGGCAACUAACAGGUCCAGAUACAACGUCAAAUAUGCCGACCAACUUAUGGAGGCCUACUUUAUGAACACAGUAGUGGAGCUGAACCCAUUUGAGGUCACUUUAUGGGGAGAUAUAGAUUUAAUUCGGGUCCAGAAAUUUCCGAUUGACAAUAACAUGUGUCAUCUAGACGAAGGAGGACCUCUUUAUAUUUUUCAUUGUGGAACGAUAGUUCCGCUUUGUCUUUAUGGGAUCAUGAGUCACUCUGAACCACUUGUCGAUUUUCCUAGGGAAAGGUGCAAUGGCAGGGAUGUUUUCAUGAAUAUACCUGUUUUUGCUGGUUGGAUUGAAAAAACAAUUAGAAAUCAUAACUAUUGAUUACCAUUGUGCUAUA